rnacentral:rRNA from 1 species
GAUGAACGCUAGCUACAGGCUUAACACAUGCAAGUCGAGGGGCAGCAUUUCAGUUUGCUUGCAAACUGGAGAUGGCGACCGGCGCACGGGUGAGUAACACGUAUCCAACCUGCCGAUAACUCGGGGAUAGCCUUUCGAAAGAAAGAUUAAUACCCGAUGGUAUAAUCAGACCGCAUGGUCUUGUUAUUAAAGAAUUUCGGUUAUCGAUGGGGAUGCGUUCCAUUAGGCAGUUGGUGAGGUAACGGCUCACCAAACCUUCGAUGGAUAGGGGUUCUGAGAGGAAGGUCCCCCACAUUGGAACUGAGACACGGUCCAAACUCCUACGGGAGGCAGCAGUGAGGAAUAUUGGUCAAUGGGCGCAGGCCUGGACCAGCCAAGUAGCGUGAAGGAUGACUGCCCUAUGGGUUGUAAACUUCUUUUAUAUGGGAAUAAAGUUUUCCACGUGUGGAAUUUUGUAUGUACCAUAUGAAUAAGGAUCGGCUAACUCCGUGCCAGCAGCCGCGGUAAUACGGAGGAUCCGAGCGUUAUCCGGAUUUAUUGGGUUUAAAGGGAGCGUAGGUGGACAGUUAAGUCAGUUGUGAAAGUUUGCGGCUCAACCGUAAAAUUGCAGUUGAUACUGGCUGUCUUGAGUACAGUAGAGGUGGGCGGAAUUCGUGGUGUAGCGGUGAAAUGCUUAGAUAUCACGAAGAACUCCGAUUGCGAAGGCAGCUCACUGGACUGCAACUGACACUGAUGCUCGAAAGUGUGGGUAUCAAACAGGAUUAGAUACCCUGGUAGUCCACACAGUAAACGAUGAAUACUCGCUGUUUGCGAUAUACAGUAAGCGGCCAAGCGAAAGCAUUAAGUAUUCCACCUGGGGAGUACGCCGGCAACGGUGAAACUCAAAGGAAUUGACGGGGGCCCGCACAAGCGGAGGAACAUGUGGUUUAAUUCGAUGAUACGCGAGGAACCCUACCCGGGCUUAAAUUGCAUUUGAAUAUAUUGGAAACAGUAUAGCCGUAAGGCAAAUGUGAAGGUGCUGCAUGGUUGUCGUCAGCUCGUGCCGUGAGGUGUCGGCUUAAGUGCCAUAACGAGCGCAACCCUUAUCUUUAGUUACUAACAGGUCAUGCUGAGGACUCUAGAGAGACUGCCGUCGUAAGAUGUGAGGAAGGUGGGGAUGACGUCAAAUCAGCACGGCCCUUACGUCCGGGGCUACACACGUGUUACAAUGGGGGGUACAGAAGGCAGCUACCUGGUGACAGGAUGCUAAUCCCAAAAGCCUCUCUCAGUUCGGAUCGAAGUCUGCAACCCGACUUCGUGAAGCUGGAUUCGCUAGUAAUCGCGCAUCAGCCAUGGCGCGGUGAAUACGUUCCCGGGCCU